rnacentral:rRNA from 1 species
AUUGAACGCUGGCGGCAUGCCUUACACAUGCAAGUCGAACGGUAACAGGUCUUCGGAUGCUGACGAGUGGCGAACGGGUGAGUAAUACAUCGGAACGUACCCGAUCGUGGGGGAUAACUACUCGAAAGAGUAGCUAAUACCGCAUACGAUCUACGGAUGAAAGCGGGGGAUCUUCGGACCUCGUGCGGACGGAGCGGCCGAUGGCAGAUUAGGUAGUUGGUGGGAUAAAAGCUUACCAAGCCGACGAUCUGUAGCUGGUCUGAGAGGACGACCAGCCACACUGGGACUGAGACACGGCCCAGACUCCUACGGGAGGCAGCAGUGGGGAAUUUUGGACAAUGGGCGAAAGCCUGAUCCAGCAAUGCCGCGUGCAGGAUGAAGGCCUUCGGGUUGUAAACUGCUUUUGUACGGAACGAAAAGACUCCUUCUAAUACAGGGGGUCCAUGACGGUACCGUAAGAAUAAGCACCGGCUAACUACGUGCCAGCAGCCGCCGUAACAC